rnacentral:rRNA from 1 species
GCAACUCGCCUACAUGAAGUCGGAAUCGCUAGUAAUCGCGGAUCAGCAUGCCGCGGUGAAUACGUUCCCGGGCCUUGUACACACCGCCCGUCACACCAUGAGAGUUUGUAACACCCAAAGCCGGUGGGGUAACCUUUUUGGAGCCAGCCGUCUAAGGUGGGACAGAUGAUUGGGGGUGAAGUCGUAACAAGGUAUC